rnacentral:lncRNA from 1 species
CCUUUACGAUGGAAAUUAGGUUUGGAGGACACUAAAACCAGAAGGUUUACGUCUAAUGUUCAUUGUAAUCAUUAAGACUUUUUUUUUUCAGUUUAACUGAAUUACGCCACUGUUGAGCUUUCUAACAGAGAGUUUGUUUGGGCGGUAUAUUUUAAUUGUUUCUCUGAUGGUAUCCUAAAGCAAGUGAAUUGAUAUGUAAAACAUUAGUUUAGACCCAUUCCACUAUUUAAUAAUGAAAUUUAUUUUUUUAAUUUAAAAACUAAAUAAAAGCUGAAAUUUGAACCAUGUAAAGCAGAGUAAUUUAUUGCUCAGGAGGCAGUCCAGUGGCAGAACAUGUUGGUUUGACCAGGUCAGGAGGCAGUAGGUUAUCCGAGACCGGGGCCUGUCCCCAGGAGCGAGCUGAGGAGCCGGCGAGCGGUGACCAUCCCACGGCUUGCAGCGUGCCAUGGGGCGGGCGCACAGGCCAGCUGGCCACCCGGGGCCUAUGCCCGGGGUGAUAGCCACUCGAGCCAAGGGGAGGCCACCCGAAGGAGCUCGCCUUUAAGGAUGCCUCGGCCAAGUGGGGCAUCCCAACAUGAUCAUGAGGCCAAAUUGCCUGGGUAAGCCAAUUUCAUGGAUACUUUUCAACAGAAUGAUACAAGCUGGUUGUGGAACAUCAAGAUCUCCAGUACUAUAAACUGAAAAACACCGGCAUAUCCAGUUUUAUUUUCAAGAAGGUGGUAUCUAACCGCAUCUCAGCUAUACUGGAAAUGUUAUUCUUUUUCUCCUUUCUUCAUCCUAUGUUGUUUAAUAUUAUCUUUGUGAUUGAAUAACCUUUUAAUGUAGUUGUCAUAGGUCUUCAUAUUGAAUCUUGAACAAGCUCAUUUUCAUUUAUCAAAAAUUAUUUCCUAUUGCUAUGAAUGGUGGACUUCACAGGGAAAUAGUUGCAUGAAUGGGCAUAGUUUUGCUCUUUUCUCAUGGUUUUUACAAGAUUCUUGACCUGAUGAGUAUACUGGAGUUUUCUACAAAAAAAUAGAUAUGGCGUGUAUAUGCAAGCUUUUUUAAAAAAAUAAAAUGCCUGAUUAAUAAAUUGAGAAUGGGGAA